AGGACGAACGCUGGCGGCGUGCCUCAUACAUGCAAGUGGAGCGACGAACCAGGAUUUAUCCUGGGGCAAAGCCGCGAACGGGUGAGUAACACGUGGGUUACCUGCCCCGAUGAUUGGGACAACCCGAGGAAACUCGGGCUAAUACCAAAUGUGCCCGUGGUUGUGAUGAUCACGAGGAAAGGAAGCUUCGGCCUCCGCAUCGGGAUGGGCCCGCGGCCCAUUAGCUAGUUGGUGGGGUAAAGGCCUACCAAGGCUACGAUCAGUAGCUGGUCUGAGAGGAUGAUCAGCCUCACUGGGACUGAGACACGGCCCAGACUCCUACGGGAGGCAGCAGUGGGGGAAUAUUGGACAAUGGGCGCAAGCCUGAUCCAGCCAUGCCGCGUGGAUGAUGAAGGCCCUAGGGUUGUAAAGUCCUUUCGACGGGGAAGAUAAUGACGGUACCCGUAGAAGAAGCCCGGCUAACUUCGCGCCAGCAGCCGCGGU
rnacentral:rRNA from 1 species